rnacentral:lncRNA from 1 species
UCUUAUAAUCAUAGUCCAUUUAUUGGUCUGUCUAAAUCUGAUGCUUGCUCCUAAAAACUCUUCCAGUGAUGGCUGUUAUUGCUCUUCAAGUCAGCAGCCAAACACAUCACCAGAGGACAGCCAGAAAAGAUGUUGGGAUGAUUGCAACCACAGCAAGUCUAGACAACAUGGAUCAAGCUGUGAUUAUAUUAACUUACUGGCUGGUUGGGCUGAGAUACCUUCAUGUCCCCCGAACCAAAGGCAACCAUUUGCACGGUAGCCAUUGCCACACCCAGGCCCACCAAAAGCAAACAACAAAGUAUUUAUUCCACCAUCUCAUGUAAUGCUCAGAGGUGCCUACACAACCUCAGAAUUUGUCACACUGGAACAUUUCAGGAACAUACUUUAUCCCUUCCAAACAAGACUACACUGCAUCCUCAUUACCACCAAGAGAACAGGAAGGAUGGAUGAUGUCAUCCCUUUGGAACUAAACACCAAAUCACCGCCAAGCUUCACUGUCACUGGUACAAAUCAAAGGUGAACAGUACACACAUCAAUAUAAUAAUUCAAAGACACUUUAUUGUGUUACAUAUUAAUGAGAAAUGACGAUGACACGACAUACACUUGAAAAAUGUUAAACAAAUUAUAAUAAAAAUUACAAACAAGAUAAAAAGCCCUAAUGGCUCAGUGAAUUACAAAACAAAUUACAUAAACAAGGCUUAUACCACCUUGAUGCUUAUAUUAAACAAGGAAAUCGGGUGAUGGGGACCACAGACCUGCUGGACAAGUGAACUCAGAUAUUUUGGAGCAAUAAAUCUACCUCUGGCACCUUGUCACACUUCCACAUUUUUGUUCAAUUUCCCCAAAUAUCCUGCCUGCCUGAGGUCACCAUUCUCGUCACUGGCUGUAUGGUGACCUGCCCUGGCUGAAACACUGGGGUAGCAUCACACAUGGUGAUAUACUCCAAUACUUGAGAACUUUGGGUUACUAACUGAUUUCCCAGGAUAAUAACUGAUGUUGCUGCAGUAUAUAAAAUAUACAUAAUGACAAGUGUGGCGUUGACAGCGGAACCAUCCAUUCUAAAAAUAAUAGUAAAAUGUUGUAUGUAAUUAACUGGUGGGUUAACAUUAUUAGUGAUGCCAUUAAGGGAUCACAUCACAUUCUCUCAGCCUUUACAUCAAAACACUACAAACAUACAGUAAAGGUAAUCAAAACAAACUGAUACAUUAGUGCAGCCAUUGCAAUCCACAACCUCUGCAUGCACCAAGGAUGGUCUUCUGUGAGAACAUUAUCACAAGUAUGACAACAUCCCCUUAUAAACUUCCUAUACUGUCUUUCCAGAGCACCCAGUCUGCAGCCCUGACAUGUGGAGCGUCUGCACAGGUGAGGUAGUGAAGCUGUGCCUCAGCUCGUCAGGUAAAGACAUCAGUUAUCUAGAUAGGCAAAAGGUGACCUGCAACUGUGUAACAUUAAGAUAACUUAUGCAAUGGUAAUAUAAAUGAGCUAUUGAUUUUACAUAUAUAGGUUAUAUUUUUCUUUUACUCUAUACCAUAUUCAAUAAGCUAAUAUGUUGCUCUACAACUAUAUUUGAUAAAAAUAAGAAAAUAUAUAAGUAUACUACUGUACUAUUAUAAAUGUGUAUAUAUCUUUUUUUAAUAUUUCAUGCAGAGAUAAUAUAUUUUUCCAAUAGUCAAUACUAUACAUACAGAAUACAGCAUAUCCUAAGCACCAUUACUUUUCAUAAUAAUGAGAAUUUUUCCGGAGAAUUACAUAAAAUAAAAAGACAUUACUGUGCAAUGGAAAAUACAUAUUUCCAUAAUUUGAAUGUACUCACUACUGUACUACUUGAAAAUAAAAUUAUGUACAUUGCCAUCACAUCAAAACAAAACACAUACAUGGAAAUUUGCAAGUACAAGAUCAUAAACCAGACCAUUAACUUCUCACUACAGUUUGCCCCAGUCACUAGUCCACAGCUGUUGUGACACCCUCCAAUGUCAACACCAAGGAGUAACGUGACAGUCAGGAUGGAACAGUCAUUGCAUUACAAUGCUAUAAAUAACAACAAUUACAGUCUCUUAUCUUCCUCUUUAAGCUGGUCUACCUGAUCCUUUACUGUUCACUGAAUGACCACAUACAUGAUAUAUGUUCCUGAAAUUUAUUUAUGGUGCCUCAGUCCCAGACACUUUCCCUGCAGUUAUCUCAGUGCCAAAGUCUAUUAAAGACAAAGAAAGAAAAAAUAAAAGGAUUUUGGUUUGAGAGAGAGAGAGAGAGAGAGAGAGAGAGAGAGAGAGAGAGAGAGAGAGAGAGAGAGAGAGAGAGAGAGAGAGAGAGAGAGAGAGAGAGAGAGAGAGAGAGAGAGAGAGAGAGAGAGAGAGAGAGAGAGAGAGAGAGAGAGAGAGAGAGAGA